rnacentral:rRNA from 1 species
GGGCCCGCACAAGCGGUGGAGUAUGUGGUUUAAUUCGAUGCAACGCGAAGAACCUUACCAGGGUUUGACAUCCUGCGAAUCUCUUGGAAACAGGAGAGUGCCCUUCGGGAACGCAGUGACAGGUGGUGCAUGGCUGUCGUCAGCUCGUGUCGUGAGAUGUUGGGUUAAGUCCUAUAACGAGCGCAACCCCUAUCGUUAGUUGCCAGCAAGUAAAGUUGGGUACUCUAGCGAGACUGCCGGUGUAAACCGGAGGAAGGUGUGGAUGACGUCAAGUAUCAUGCCCCUACAUCCUGGGCUACACACGUACUACAAUGCUACGGACAAAGGGCAGCAAGUUCGCGAGGACAAG